GCUGUAGACAUUCCUAAGAAACACGCAGUCAGUCCUGGUGAGAGUGAAGUCAAGUUCUGGAAUUCUCAUUUGGAAUCUGCUGCCAGAUCCUUGAGAGAAUCUGGGAACAGCUAAGAGUUUUGUGUUUGGUGUGGACCCAAGAAUAUGGGAUUACAGUAUUCCUCUUGUCUAAUUACUUUUACUUCUGUCCUUUACAGAGCUGCUAAAGACCCAUGACCUUCACUAUUGAACUGCUUCAUUGGAGGGAAAGAAUUGCCUUGAUGUCUAUAAGGAUUAGUGUUCUGAACAGACAUCUGCAAAGCUGUUGCUAGCUAUUGCUAGCCAGAUUGCUCAGUGCACAGUUGAGGUCCUCCAAUGGUGUUCCUUAAUCCUUACUGAUGGCAUUUGGUGUCUAGUUGUGAUGCUUUCCGCUUCAUUGCUUUAAUCAAUUAAUGUAUUUCUUUUCUAGGAUUCCAGGUGAAGUGAAAUAUUCAUGACCUUUGCUCCGAUAAGCUCCAGCAGGGGAAAUCCUGUAUUGGUCUGUUUAUUAAGCUACUCACGGGCUCUCACAUAAAGCUUUUUCUCCUGGAGGAUCCAUCACUGACUAGACAUGGAAAAAAUGGUGCCAACAGUUUUCAGACAAUUCCUUGAAAGCACGUCUUUAAGCCUGAAAGUGUCCAGCACACUAAAUGCAAAAGGAACUUUGCAGAAACCUUGUCACCGUCACCAAGAAGACACUCUCAUUACUAGAAAUUGGGCUUUAAGCAAAUCAAAGAAGUAUUUGUCCCGCCUUUGUUCACUGGCUCUGGUUACAGCAGCUACAGAAUCUUUCUUUGAGAAAGUUGAAAGCUCAUGUCUUAUUCUCUGCGUCCCUAAGACUGAACAUAGACCCUGGCAUCCAGAAGAUGUUCAAUAAAUGGCCAUGGGCACUGUUGGCUGAAGGAAGAGAAGAUGCUGGCUGAGACAGCUUUCUCAGGCUCCCAGGGACACAACCUCACAGCUCCAGAGCAUUCUGUUAUUCAAAGCCCUUUCACAGCACUGCAGGGCAUAUUGGAGACAGUUCCUGAUUGCAUCAUAUUGUAUACUCCACUCGGCAUAAUUACACCAUGGGCUUUUGUCUCCCUUGGUGCCAGCCAGUCUCAAAAUACAUGCCACUUCCUCAGUAUGCUUCUCUUGAGCACUGGGGUUGCCCACUCAUUACAACUGGAGCUUGCAAAUGCUGCAUCUACCUCUAGCCACUUAAGCUCUGGGUUGCCCUCUUCAGAGAAGCAGAUGGCUUUUUGUGAAGAAUGGUGAUGUUUCCUUGUGCUGAAGACCAGAAAGAGGAAGAGAAAAUAGUGUAGGCUAACCCAGGGCCACAAUGGUG